AGCCAAUUGACGCAGAUGACGCAGUUUAGGCCAUCCUCAAAGCCCAUGCCUACGAUCUGUGAGGCUGUGACUUUGUAGUGUACACCGAAGCCUAGCCCAGUUGAGCCCAUCCUCUAAUCCCUUUCCGUAACUUCUGUUUUCUUUAUCGAUCAAAAGACAAGCAGUGUGUCUUCUUACCCUAAUCUCAUACCGAUCUGCCAUCCCGCCUGGUCGCCGGGCGCCGGCGCGGGUCGCAAAAUACGCAAGAGACAGCCGCUAGAAAACUAUCUGGCGAUGCCGCUGUCGUCACGUCGUGCUAGCCACUGCGUUGAAGUGCCGAUCGAUCAAGGAGACUGCUGCGGCACCUCACCAUCAUGCAGGGCGUCGACCAGACCUCCUAGUUAUUUCUGAUCAUACACCAAAAUCUAGAGUUCGGCCGAAGGCCCUUGGAAUGGUCCACAAAGAUAGGGAAGAAUUAAUUAAGGAACUUUGUGGGAUUUCUUGUCCCCUUUCCUGCUGUCAGUGUCACAGUUGACACAAACCAGAAGCCAGUUUGCAAAGUCAGAGGAUACCAACUGUGUGAUCGAUGUGCAUUGUCAUCAUCCUGGCUGGCUGUUGGGUCGCUGCAAAAGUUGCAAGUAACAAGCUGGAACCCUGUGACUAUGUCGGUUCAGUAACAGUGUGUCCACACUAUGACUUGGACAUUAUCUUUCCAUCUUUAUCAAUAUGACACACACAUAUUUUAAGAUGAAAUUUCACCGAAAGAUUUAAACAACAA